CAGGUUGUGGCCUAUGUACUAGGAUAUACCUCCCACUCACUGCACUGCUCAGGUUGUGGCCUAUGUACUAGGAUAUACCUCCCACUCACUGCACUGCUCAGGUUGUGGCCUAUGUACUAGGAUAUACCUCCCACUCACUGCACUGCUCAGGUUGUGGCCUAUGUACUAGGAUAUACCUCCCACUCACUGCACUGCUCAGGUUGUGGCCUAUGUACUAGGAUAUACCUCCCACUCACUGCACUGCUCAGGUUGUGGCCUAUGUACUAGGAUAUACCUCCCACUCACUGCACUGCUCAGGUUGUGGCCUAUGUACUAGGAUAUACCUCCCACUCACUGCACUGUAGAAACAGAUGCAACGCAUAUCCAUAUUCACCACUGCUCGUAUGCCCCAUUUUCAUCCCAUCUUUUAUUCCUCUCUGCACUGGGCCCCAAC